rnacentral:rRNA from 1 species
AUUGAACGCUGGCGGCAGGCCUAACACAUGCAAGUCGAGCGGAUGAAGGGAGCUUGCUCCUGGAUUCAGCGGCGGACGGGUGAGUAAUGCCUAGGAAUCUGCCUGGUAGUGGGGGAUAACGUCCGGAAACGGGCGCUAAUACCGCAUACGUCCUGAUGGAGAAAGUGGGGGAUCUUCGGACCUCACGCUAUCAGAUGAGCCUAGGUCGGAUUAGCUAGUUGGUGGGGUAAAGGCCUACCAAGGCGACGAUCCGUAACUGGUCUGAGAGGAUGAUAAGUCACACUAGAACUGAGACACGGUCCAGGCUCCUAAGGGAGGCAGCAGUGGGGAAUAUUGGACAAUGGGCGAAAGCCUGAUCCAGCCAUGCCGCGUGUGUGAAGAAGGUCUUCGGAUUGUAAAGCACUUUAAGUUGGGAGGAAGGGCAGUAAGUUAAUACCUAGCUGUUUUGACGUUACCAACAGAAUAAGCACCGGCUAACUUCGUG